CUGUCUGCAGAAGCAAGGCAGAUGUUCCGGUCUUCCCUGGCCACUGGCAGGGUCUGAGGCAAUGGAGACCCUUGUGAUGGGAAGAACAGCAAAGAUGGAGACCUGUUCCUCAGACAUCUCUCCGCUAACAGAGUUGUCCCUUCUCCCAUGAUGAUCAGCUGCUCCUCAAUGGUCUUCAUCUUUGACUCAUAAAAAUGAAUGAAGUCACAGAUGACUCCUGCUCCAGUGUUUCCAAUGACCAGGGUAGCAUCUCAGAGACCACCAGACAAACCAUCUGAAGACAGAGAGCGUGCGUGUCAACAGUAAAUGUCCCAAGAGGAAGAAUAAGCCAGUGAUUUAGGAAGACAACAGGGACAUCAUACUGCAGUUGGUAAAAAAUAUUUGCCAACUAUAUUACAUGCUAAUUCUCAGCUUGUCAAUGCAGAAUCCAAAUGCCCUUUGCCACGGGAGAUAAAAGACAUUCCUGUAAUAAGAGGCAGUAUGAUAUUGUUUUGCCAUGCUAAGAACUUUUUAGGCUUUUUAUUACCAGUCCCAGGAAUGACUACUGGGUGUCUUAGGGUUUACCUCUGUGAACAGGCACCAUGACCAAGACAACUCUUAUAAGGACAACAUUUAAUUGGGGCUGGCUUACAGAUUCAGAGGUUCAGCCAAUAAUCAUCAAGGUGGGAGCAGGGCAGCGCUAGGCAAGCAGGCAGGCAUGGCGCGGGCAGAGCUGAGAGUUCUACAUCUUCAUCUGAAGGCUGCUAGUGGAACACUUGCUUUCAGGCUGCUAGGAGGAGGGUCUUAAAGCCCACACCCACAGUAGCACACCUACUCC